rnacentral:rRNA from 1 species
GACGAACGCUGGCGGCGUGCUUAACACAUGCAAGUCGAACGGAAAGGCCCUGCUUUUGUGGGGUGCUCGAGUGGCGAACGGGUGAGUAACACGUGAGUAACCUGCCCUUGACUUUGGGAUAACUUCAGGAAACUGGGGCUAAUACCGGAUAGGAGCUCCUGCUGCAUGGUGGGGGUUGGAAAGUUUCGGCGGUUGGGGAUGGACUCGCGGCUUAUCAGCUUGUUGGUGGGGUAGUGGCUUACCAAGGCUUUGACGGGUAGCCGGCCUGAGAGGGUGACCGGCCACAUUGGGACUGAGAUACGGCCCAGACUCCUACGGGAGGCAGCAGUGGGGAAUAUUGCACAAUGGGCGGAAGCCUGAUGCAGCAACGCCGCGUGCGGGAUGACGGCCUUCGGGUUGUAAACCGCUUUCGCCUGUGACGAAGCGUGAGUGACGGUAAUGGGUAAAGAAGCACCGGCUAACUACGUGCCAGCAGCCGCGGUGAUACGUAGGGUGCGAGCGUUGUCCGGAUUUAUUGGGCGUAAAGGGCUCGUAGGUGGUUGAUCGCGUCGGAAGUGUAAUCUUGGGGCUUAACCCUGAGCGUGCUUUCGAUACGGGUUGACUUGAGGAAGGUAGGGGAGAAUGGAAUUCCCGGUGGAGCGGUGGAAUGCGCAGAUAUCAGGAGGAACACCAGUGGCGAAGGCGGUUCUCUGGGCCUUUCCUGACGCUGAGGAGCGAAAGCGUGGGGAGCGAACAGGCUUAGAUACCCUGGUAGUCCACGCUGUAAACGGUGGGUACUAGGUGUGGGGUCCAUUCCACGGGUUCCGUGCCGUAGCUAACGCUUUAAGUACCCCGCCUGGGGAGUACGGCCGCAAGGCUAAAACUCAAAGGAAUUGACGGGGCCCCGCACAAGCGGCGGAGCAUGCGGAUUAAUUCGAUGCAACGCGUAGAACCUUACCUGGGUUUGACAUGGAUCGGGAGUGCUCAGAGAUGGGUGUGCCUCUUUUGGGGUCGGUUCACAGGUGGUGCAUGGCUGUCGUCAGCUCGUGUCGUGAGAUGUUGGGUUAAGUCCCGCAACGAGCGCAACCCUUGUUCACUGUUGCCAGCACGUUAUGGUGGGGACUCAGUGGAGACCGCCGGGGUCAACUCGGAGGAAGGUGGGGAUGACGUCAAGUCAUCAUGCCCCUUAUGUCCAGGGCUUCACGCAUGCGACAAUGGCUGGUACAGAGAGUGGCGAGCCUGUGAGGGUGAGCGAAUCUCGGAAAGCCGGUCUCAGUUCGGAUUGGGGUCUGCAACUCGACCUCAUGAAGUCGGAGUCGCUAGUAAUCGCAGAUCAGCAACGCUGCGGUGAAUACGUUCCCGGG